rnacentral:rRNA from 1 species
UACGUAGGGUGCAGGCGUUAAUCGGAAUUACUGGGCGUAAAGGGCUCGUAGGCGGCCAACUAAGUCGGACGUGAAAUCCCCAGGCUCAACCUGGGAACUGCGUCCGAUACUGGAUGGCUUGAAUCCGGGAGAGGGAUGCAGAAUUCCAGGUGUAGCGGUGAAAUGCGUAGAUAUCUGGAGGAAUACCGGUGGCGAAGGCGGCAUCCUGGACCGGCAUUGACGCUGAGGAGCGAAAGCCAGGGGAGCAAACGGG